UACAGAGGGGGCAAGCGUUGUUCGGAAUUACUGGGCGUAAAGGGCGCGUAGGCGGCCUGUUAAGUCAGACGUGAAAUCCCUCGGCUUAACCGGGGAACUGCGUCUGAUACUGGAUGGCUUGAGAUUGGGAGAGGGAUGCGGAAUUCCAGGUGUAGCGGUGAAAUGCGUAGAUAUCUGGAGGAACACCGGUGGCGAAGGCGGCAUCCUGGACCAACACUGACGCUGAGGGAGCGAAAGCCAGGGGAGCAAACGGG
rnacentral:rRNA from 1 species